rnacentral:rRNA from 1 species
AAUUUUCUAGAAUUUAAUUAUUUUUUAUUUUUAAUUUAUAUUCUUGUUGAAAAUAACAGGAUUUUCUCUUAAGACUAAAAGACCCUAGAAUUUUUAUAAUUUUUUUUAUUUAGUUGGGGCAACUAAAAAUAAAA